AUUGAACGCUGGCGGCAGGCCUAACACAUGCAAGUCGAGCGAGCGGCGGACGGGUGAGUAAUGUCUGUGAAACUGCCUGAUGGAGGGGGAUAACUUCUGGAAACGGUAGCUAAUACCGCAUACCAUCAGAUGUGCCCAGAUGGGAUUAGCUAGUAGGUGGGGUAACGGCCCACCUAGGCGGCGAUCCCUAGCUGGUCUGAGAGGAUGACCAUCCACACUGGAACGUAGACACGGACCAGACUCCUACGGGAGGCAGCAGUGGGGAAUAUUGCACAAUGGGCGCAAGCCUGAUGCAGCCAGGCCGCGUGUGUGAAGAAGGCCUUCGGGUUGUAAAGCACUUUCAGCGGGGAGGCGUUACCCGCAGAAGAAGCACCGGCUAACUCCGUGCCAGCAGCCGCGGUAAUUC
rnacentral:rRNA from 1 species